rnacentral:rRNA from 1 species
GACCGGCGCACGGGUGAGUAACGCGUAUCCAACCUGCCCACCACUUGGGAAUAACCUUGCGAAAGUAAGACUAAUGCCCAAUGACGUCUCUAGAAGACAUCUGAAGGAGAUUAAAGAUUAUCGGUGAUGGAUGGGGAUGCGUCUGAUUAGCUUGUUGGCGGGGUAACGGCCCACCAAGGCGACGAUCAGUAGGGGUUCUGAGAGGAAGGUCCCCCACAUUGGAACUGAGACACGGUCCAAACUCCUACGGGAGGCAGCAGUGAGGAAUAUUGGUCAAUGGGCGAGAGCCUGAACCAGCCAAGUAGCGUGCAGGAUGACGGCCCUAUGGGUUGUAAACUGCUUUUAUAAGGGAAUAAAGUGAGUCUCGUGAGACUUUUUGCAUGUACCUUAUGAAUAAGGACCGGCUAAUUCCGUGCCAGCAGCCGCGGUAAUACGGAAGGUCCGGGCGUUAUCCGGAUUUAUUGGGUUUAAAGGGAGCGUAGGCCGGAGAUUAAGCGUGUUGUGAAAUGUAGACGCUCAACGUCUGCACUGCAGCGCGAACUGGUUUCCUUGAGUACGCACAAAGUGGGCGGAAUUCGUGGUGUAGCGGUGAAAUGCUUAGAUAUCACGAAGAACUCCGAUUGCGAAGGCAGCUCACUGGAGCGCAACUGACGCUGAAGCUCGAAAGUGCGGGUAUCGAACAGGAUUAGAUACCCUGGUAGUCCGCACGGUAAACGAUGGAUGCCCGCUGUUGGUCUGAAUAGGUCAGCGGCCAAGCGAAAGCAUUAAGCAUCCCACCUGGGGAGUA